UUUUAUUUGAUUAUGUGAAAGAUAACAUUUUCUUUAAUGCAAGAACGUGACUUGUUCAUUCGACUAUGUGGUUCCAGAGAUCGAGCGGAUCGAAGAAAUACUUGCAAUGUCGAAUGGAAAGACACUUGAUGGUGAAACAAGACCUAUCAGAGCUUAGUUUCUGCAAUGCUACAACAGAUUUAUCUGAGAAUCCCUUAUCCCUCCUUUGAGAUAAUAAUUGUUGAUUAAGAAUCACCCACUAGUGGGAAUUACAUGAAGCCCUUGAUCAAGUUGUAUCCGCUAUUGCUUGAAUAAGUUGAUUAAAGUUGCAAGUUGAGCCUGCACUUUCACUAAGACUAGAAACUUUAUCCUUUAAUCAAGUAGUAGCUUCUUGAUGGAGUUUAUUUAGCAUAUGAAACUCAUUUAAGAUUUAUGUCUGUUGUUCAAUGUUUUUUUGACCUCAUACUUGUUAUAAUUUUUUGUUUAUAAUGCAUUAGACCUUAUUUAACAUUAUUUAAAUUUUAAAGUGUGUAUUUAAAUAGAUAUAUAACAAGUAGCUUUAUUGAAGAAACUACAGUGCUAAAGAGGGGCAUUAUUGCAGUCAUUCAAAAGUUCAAUAUCCAAGUUAGCAAUUUGACUCAAGAUGUCCUUGGAAAGUCUAGUUCAACUGUUUAUGUCAUUGCAUUGUUAGCCUCUGGAAAGAGCUCUGCAAU